rnacentral:rRNA from 1 species
ACUUUACAAUGCUGGCAACAGCGAUAAGGGAACCUCGAGUGCCAGGUUACAAAUCUGGCUGUCGAGAUGCCUAAAAAGCAUUUCAUAGCAAGGGCCGGGCAAGACCGGUGCCAGCCGCCGCGGUAACACCGGCGGCUCGAGUGGUAACCGCUAUUAUUGGGUCUAAAGGGUCUGUAGCCUGCAGGUUAAGUCUCUUGGUAAAUCCGGCAGCUCAACUGUCGGGGUUCAGGGGAUACUGGUCUGCUCGGGACCGGGAGAGGUGAGAGGUACCUCAGGGGUAGGGGUGAAAUCUUGUAAUCCUUGAGGGACCACCAGUGGCGAAGGCGUCUCACCAGAACGGGUCCGACGGCAAGGGACGAAAGCUAGGGGCACGAACCGG